UACGUAGGGUGCAAGCGUUGUCCGGAAUUAUUGGGCGUAAAGAGCUCGUAGGCGGUUUGUCGCGUCGGCUGUGAAAGCCCGGAGCUCAACUCCGGGUCUGCAGUCGAUACGGGCAGACUUGAGUGUUGCAGGGGAGACUGGAAUUCCUGGUGUAGCGGUGAAAUGCGCAGAUAUCAGGAGGAACACCGAUGGCGAAGGCAGGUCUCUGGGCAUUAACUGACGCUGAGGAGCGAAAGCAUGGGGAGCGAACAUGG
rnacentral:rRNA from 1 species